UGAGUUGUAAUCCGCGUCAACGUGCUGUUUAUAAUUUUCCUACUUUGCACAAGAACUUUGUAUCAUCGCUAAAAAGUAAGCCAUAACUAUUAUUUUCAAAUUACCGGCUUAAAAUUGAAAAAAAUCUACCGAUAUAUUAUAUUGACAUGGUUGAUGGUGGAGUGACGACUGAUGUAGAUAAAAAGGGCUUUGCGAAGAAGGAAGAUAUUGUUACUGCUGGUGGUCGAGUGACGAUUGGUCGAUGUAAAUGGAAAGGUCUUUGUGUGAAGGUGAAGAUAUUGUUACUGCUGGUGACCGAGUG